rnacentral:lncRNA from 10 species
CCGACAGCCAGGUGUGGGCCAGCUCCAACUGGGGCGACUUGUGGAGGGUGGUUCCUGGGACAACGCCCAUGCCGUGAUCAGGAACGGGGUCAGCAGGAGUCAGGUGGGGAAGUGCCAGGUGUCCACUGCCACGACCAACACGUUACUCACACUCACGGCACAAGAAUGGCCUCUGUACCCUGUGUGUAGAGUCAAGGCUAUAAAGAGGGACUGAGAACACCGUGACGCCCUGGCCUGCGCACCCUCCUCUGCUCCAUCUGGGUCUGUCCGGAUGGCAGAGGCUCAGAGGGUCUGCCCCUACCAGAUGGUGGAGGCUCAGAAUGUCUGAGCCAGAAAAAGCAUGAAAGAAAACUUAGCCUUCCUCCUCCCAGUUAACAGGAAGCCGGCUGUGGCCCCAGCGCAUUUCCUCCUAAUGGAUGGGAAAGAAAAUGUGAGGACAGCGGUGCCCUGGCGCGGGGCCACCCUCGGGCACCUCGCUCAUUCCCGCUGUCUGCACCUUCUGAGGCCCGAGGUGGACUUUUCGGGAGGCGGCCCAGGCAGGAGCAUCGCCAGACCUCUGUGGAUUUGUGCUUUAUCCUUGUUUCUCUGCUCCGGGUGUCUGGGGAGGAUUUAUGGAGGAAACAACAUAAUGAGACCUGAGUGACUUAGAGCUUGGGGAGGUCGACCACAGCAUCUUCAGAGGGAAGGAAAUUCAGAUGGCAAUCGUCCCAGUGGAUGACUUCACGUGGUUUCCCUGGGGAAGCCCCGCCCCCAGCUGCUCCUUCCCGAGGCCCUACCUGCCCUUCCAGGCCCAGCCCAGUCCUGCCUCUCCCAGGAGUCUCCUCUGAGCUCCUGGGUCACAGGGAAGGGUCUCCUCACAGCUCCUGAGGCAGCUCUGCCCGCCCACCCACUGGGGUUCAUUUCUGGCCAGAGCUCCUCCCUCCUCCCCAGGGCCUCCUGUGGGGUCCUCAGAGAGCUGCUUGUCCCCCAAAGCUGUCCUUGGUGUCUUCUUAGCUGAGGACGGAGUGUUAAACACAUCACAGACAGGACCAUAGUAUCCCACACUACGCCAUAAAAGGAGAGUUACAACUUUCAACCUCUGUAAAUAUUUAAAAGUAAUGAAAUUAUACUCCAAGUCUUAUAAGACAUUAAUUGUAUCAAGGGUCUCUUGUAUAAAAAUAUGCAUGUAUACAUUAACACUAUAAGUCUCUAGAACCACAGAUAUGACACAAAAUUA